UGUACCUAUGUACUAUAUGUAUAUUGGUUUCUGGUCACAGCAGAAAGCCUUAUAUAUACAGACCUGUUUAUUAUUAGAACACAUUUCACCAUUAUAAAUUUUUACUGGCUACACCAUGAAUACCCAGAUUUUAAAUAAUAUACAAGUGUGUCAGUUCAGCUGACCACUGUUAGUAUACAAUUGUAUUUCUGAAUGUCUGACCAUCAGUGGUCAGUGUAUGUCUGACUGGGAGUUUUGAAAUGUCCAGUUUGAGUUCACCUGACCUCACAUCUGAUAUCCCCUACAACCUGUGCAGUACAAAGAGCAGAAAAGGCAUUGACCGGUCAGCAUGUUUGACCUCAAGCAGCUGUCCUUAACCCAGGAAUUGAAAGGGGUGCCGUCGGUAUGGCUAGUGUCAGGACUAUUUGGACUUUUGGUGAUCUACGUUUCCGUCAUACCAUCACCGAUAGAGUCGAACUUUUAUAUUUAUCCUAAACCCCUUCCUGUACUGGAGGGUGCUCUUCAAAGAAACAACCUACUACAGAAGGCUAACAAACUGUUUGAGGGACAGCUGUUAGGCCCAGAGUCCAUAACUGCGGGCACAAAUGGAAUACUGUACACAGGAGCCCAGGAUGGGAGGAUUCUAGCCUUCAACAACACCCACCUCUGGACCGUAACACGAACAGGGCAGGAGGUCCCAGGAUGUGGAUCUUUUGAAAUGGAGCCAGUUUGUGGGCGACCUAAAGGGUUAAAGGUCAACAGAGACGGCGACCUCCUGGUUCUUGAUGCAUACUUUGGUCUUUUGAAAGUCAACAUCAGCACUGGUCAGAUUGAGACGCUACUGUCUAGUGACAUUGGUAUUGAGGGAGUCCCAUUCUCCUUUCUCAAUAGUCUUGACAUCUCCCGCUCCGGGCUUGUAUACUUCACAGACUCCACCACCAGGUGGGGCCGCCGUCAUUACAGAUACGAGGUAAUGGAGGUGAACGCCCUUGGAAGACUUAUAGAGUAUAAUCCUGAGACAAAGACAGCCCGACUACUGCUGGGAAAUCUCCACCUAGCCAAUGGAAUCGCAUUGUCACAGGACGAAACCUUCAUCCUCAUUGCUGAGAUGAGUGUUUGUCGCUUGAGAAGAUUGUACCUCAAAGGACCAAAGGCUGGACAGACAGACAUUUUUGCAGACAACUUACCGGGUUACCCUGACAACAUCAAAAUAAACAGUCAUGGGAAUUUCUAUGUUGGCCUGGGGGCUGUAAGGUACGAAGGAGUCAGUAAAAUUGGGCCCUUCCUAGACCUGGUCGGACCCUUUCCUGGAAUCAAAAACUUCAUAGCUAAGGUGACGCCGCUGUUCCUUUUCGAUCUUUUUGUCCCAAGACAUGCAAUCGUUCUGGAAUUCAGUCCUGAAGGCAAAGUCGUCACAAGUCUACAUGACCCCACUGGAGGGGUCACCUCAGCAGUGGGCGAAGCGUACGAACACCAAGGCUAUAUCUACCUCGCUCACUUCAAAAGUACAUUCAUAGGACAGAUAGAUAUCAGGGAUAUCUAGCAAAGUGCAUUAAAAUUGGACAGAUAUCAAAGAUAUCCAGUUAAGUGUAUUCAUAGGACAGAUAUAUAUACCAGGUAUCAGGGAUAUCUAUAAAAUCCAGCUACUGUAUUCUUAGGAUAGAUAUAUACCAGGUAUCAGGGAUAUCUAUAAGAUCCAGCUACGUGUAUUCUUAGGACAGAUAUUUACUGGGUAUCAGGGAUAUCUAUAAGAUCCAGUUACGUGUAUUCUUAGGACAGAUAUUUACUGGGUAUCAGGGAUAUCUAUAAGAUCCAGUUACGUGUAUUCUUAGGACAGAUAUAUACCAGGUAUCAGGAAUAUCUGUAAUAUCCAGUUACGUGUAUUCUUAGGACAGAUAUUUACUGGGUAUCAGGGAUAUCUAUUAGAUAUCCAGUUAAGUGUGUUGAUAGGACAGAAAUAUACCUGCUACAGGGAUAUCUAUUAAAGUCCAUUUACGAAGGAUAGACAGAUAUCAAAGAUAUCCCUUUAAGUGUGUUGAUAGGACAGAAAUAUACCAGGUAUCAGGGAUAUCUAUUAAAGUCCAUUUACGAAGGAUAGACAGAUAUCAAAAAUAUCCCUUUAAGUGUAUAUAUAUAGGACAGACAGGUAUCAGGGAUAUAUAUACAAAGUAGGUUAGUGUAUUCAUAGAAUAGACAGCGAAUAAAAGACAUUUUUAAAGGAAAACCAUAUAUCAACACUGAUUAAUAUCAAGGAUAUAUCCUGAAAAAUGACAGAGAUAUCUAUAAAAGUACAUUCACAAAGGACAGACACAUAUCAAAGAUAUCCAGUUAAGUGUAUUCAUAGGGUAGGCCGAUAUCGGGAUAUCAAGUUAAAUACAUUCAUAGGGUAGGCCGAUAUCGGGAUAUCAAGUAAAAUACAUUUAUAGAACAGACCGACAUCAGGGUUUAGCGUAACAAGGAUAUCCAGAAAAUUAUGUCUAUUAAGGAAAGAUAGAUACCAAGGGUAUCCUGUAGGGUGAAUGAAUAAGUCCUCAUGAAAUAUUAAUAACCCCUGUAAUUUAUCACAGAAUUUUAAUCUAGAAAAAAACCUAUAGUUAAAUUACUACUGCCUACUGUCAGAAAACAAUAUCAGUGAAAUAAUUAGUAUAUUACAGUAUAUUCUUAUAGCAUAAUGUAAAACAAUUAAGAAACCAGGUGCCAUUUCUAAUUUAGUACUUGGUGUUAACUGUACCUACUGUUCUAGAAAUUUUGUGACACACAGAGAGUUAUGUCCCCUUUUCUGUUAAGCUUCUAAUUUGGCUACUGCCUUCUCCAAUUUGUGUAUAAGCUAGUUGAUAUCACUCACUCUAUUAAUAUCAUUAACUUAGCUUCUUGUUGUAUUCAUACCUCAUGUUAUAUAAAAGCAGAGACCUGAUAUGUAUACUCUUUGAUAAAUACUUCUCUGAUAAAAGUAAUUGUUAAUUCUUUUACAUGAUUCUUGUCAACCACAAAGGAUGCACAUUAUUAGACUGUUAAAUAAACAUCAUUCUAUACAGAUGCUUUCUGCGGUAUAUUAGGACAUACUUUAUAUUUUAAUGAAUAUUAAUGUGAAAUUUUCUAGUUCUUCAACUUAAAAAAAAGGAUCUUAUGAUAGUUUACACUUGGUGUUAACUAUAUACUCUUAUUUGAAGAAUCUGCAAGGAGUUAUGUCCCUUAUUCUGUAACACUAGGGCUGUUGCCAAAUCGUUUUUAAUAAAGUUAUUUAAGAAGU
rnacentral:misc_RNA from 1 species